GAUCAUGGCUCAGGAUGAACGCUGACAGAAUGCUUAACACAUGCAAGUCUACUUGAAUUUGGGUCUUUGACUUAGAUUUGGGUGGCGGACGGGUGAGUAACGCGUAAAGAACUUGCCUCACAGUUAGGGACAACAUUUGGAAACGAAUGCUAAUACCUGAUAUUAUAAUUAUACGGCAUCGUAUAAUUAUGAAAGCUAUAUGCGCUGUGAGAGAGCUUUGCGUCCCAUUAG
rnacentral:rRNA from 1 species